rnacentral:tRNA from 3 species
UGACGCAUAGUAUAAUGGUAGUACACAUUACUACGGAUAAUGAUAUAGGUGUUCGAAUCACCUUGCGUCGA